rnacentral:rRNA from 1 species
GAUGAACGCUGGCGGCGUGCCUAAUACAUGCAAGUCGAGCGAACGGACGAGAAGCUUGCUUCUCUGAUGUUAGCGGCGGACGGGUGAGUAACACGUGGAUAACCUACCUAUAAGACUGGGAUAACUUCGGGAAACCGGAGCUAAUACCGGAUGAUAUUUUGAACCGCAUGGUUCAAAAGUGAAAGACGGUCUUGCUGUCACUCAUAGAUGGAUCCGCGCUGCAUUAGCUAGUUGGUAAGGUAACGGCCUACCAAGGCAACGAUGCAUAGCCGACCUGAGAGGGUGAUCGGCCACACUGGAACUGAGACACGGUCCAGACUCCUACGGGAGGCAGCAGUAGGGAAUCUUCCGCAAUGGGCGAAAGCCUGACGGAGCAACGCCGCGUGAGUGAUGAAGGUCUUCGGAUCGUAAAACUCUGUUAUUAGGGAAGAACAUAUGUGUAAGUAACUGUGCACAUCUUGACGGUACCUAAUCAGAAAGCCACGGCUAACUACGUG